rnacentral:lncRNA from 1 species
GUAGGUCUGGACGAGAAAGGUUUGAAAAUCUUUUCUCACUCCAAAACAUGCUUUUAUCUCAUGGCUGGAUGCCCAGUUGAAGCUAUUAACUGAGGAUCAGUUGUCGCAUCUCAACAUUGACAAAAACUAUGUUUUUUUGUGGGGCACACUUGAAAAUGGGAUAGCAUUUAUUUUUUAGAUGCUCAUUCACCUCUAGCAUAUGGAUGAGGAUCAAAGCUUGCAUGAAUGGGGAUUAGGAGAUCGAUGACUACAAUUUCGAGUGUUUUGAAGUAGAUCAUGAAAGAGGUCCAAGAGACAUCUUGACAAAGUAAAUCCAAAAGAAUUGCACUUGUUAGCACCGCUUACCAUAUUUUGAUGACAUGGAAUAACAAGGUUUUUAAGGAACUUAGUUCACACAUGGAUAACAUAAUUAGAUGAAUUAAAACACGUGUACAAUGUUAUGUUUGUUUUGUACCCACAUAUGUUUGAUUCAUUUAAAGUCUUUGGCUAUGGGACUAUAGUACCUAUCGUUUAUACA